rnacentral:tRNA from 1 species
GGCUCAGUAGCUUAGUUGGUAAAGCGCUCGUCUAGCAUACCUGGGUUCAAAUCCCAGUCGAGCAC